CCUACGGGUGGCAGCAGUGGGGAAUAUUGGACAAUGGGCGAAAGCCUGAUCCAGCCAUGCCGCGUGUGUGAAGAAGGCCUUCGGGUUGUAAAGCACUUUCAGUGGGGAAGAAAGCCUUGGGGCUAAUGCCCUCGAGGAAGGACAUCACCCACAGAAGAAGCACCGGCUAACUCCGUGCCAGCAGCCGCGGUAAUACGGAGGGUGCGAGCGUUAAUCGGAAUUACUGGGCGUAAAGCGCGCGUAGGCGGUCUGAUAAGCCGGUUGUGAAAGCCCCGGGCUCAACCUGGGAACGGCAUCCGGAACUGUCAGGCUAGAGUGCAGGAGAGGAAGGUAGAAUUCCCGGUGUAGCGGUGAAAUGCGUAGAGAUCGGGAGGAAUACCAGUGGCGAAGGCGGCCUUCUGGACUGACACUGACGCUGAGGUGCGAAAGCGUGGGUAGCAAACAGGAUUAGAUACCCCUGUAGUC
rnacentral:rRNA from 1 species